CUAUACUAUAGGUGGACCGCAAUGUCAAAAUUGCUGUUCGGCCAUUGCUCGUGAAAAAACAAAUUUGUUUACAAAACAUAUCAUAUCUUUUGGUGACAAAUGCAUUCGUCGGCAAAAUAGCUGCUCGCGCUUUACUGUAGAUAUCUACAAUCAGCGGUCGAAUUAAAAACAGUGCAGAAGGAUGUUUUGAGUAUGUUUUAGGUUCUAGCCGCGCAAUCAAUGCUUUUUUUCCAAGCAAGAUGUACUUCUGUUUGGAUCCUAUCGGCGGGGAAAAAAGUACUUACGGCGACGGUGACAAGAAAUAGCGCUGAUUGCGAGAUUACCAGAUCCAGAAGAUCCGGAAGGGCUGUUACAAGUAAUUGGUUUUGCUAGAGCAAAAGGAGGUUGACAAUGAUUGCAACAGGUGAAAUAAACUGUUGGAAUCACGACUAUCGAUCACGCCAGAAGAUCCGGAAAGAGUUGUUGAAAGUAAUUGGUUUUGCUCAAAUGCUAGAGCACAAGGAGGUUGACGAUGAUUGCAACAGGAAAAUAAUCAGUAGCAGCUGGUAUGGCUUCUUCACAUGGUUGUUUCCGCAUCCUUUUACUGCACAAUAAUACGGCAUCUGAAGAAAAUAAGAUAUUCACAAUAUAAUUUUGGCAUGAUAGAGAACCGCGAGAUGAACGAUUAUCUGUGGAGGAGUUGGACAACAGAUUUCUUAGACUUAUAGCACUUUAAUCACACUCACAAGCUCUUCAAAUCCUCACUGUCCCCCAAAACUAUUGAAUAAUAUGUAAUAUAAAUACCUUAUUGCAGCUCUAGUACACUAUUUUUCACGAAUAUAUAUUUGCUUAUU